UACAGAGGUCUCAAGCGUUGUUCGGAUUCAUUGGGCGUAAAGGGUGCGUAGGCGGCGCGGUAAGUCGGGUGUGAAAUCUCGGGGCUUAACUCCGAAACUGCAUUCGAUACUGCCGUGCUUGAGGACUGGAGAGGAGACUGGAAUUUACGGUGUAGCGGUGAAAUGCGUAGAUAUCGUAAGGAAGACCAGUGGCGAAAGCGGCUCUCUGGGACGGUACUGACGCUGAGACGCGAAAGCGUGGGGAGCAAACAGG
rnacentral:rRNA from 1 species